UGAGCGGCAAAAGCUCAAAUUUGAAAUCUGGUACCUUCGGUGCCCGAGUUGUAAUUUGGAGAGGGCAACUUUGGGGCCGUUCCUUGUCUAUGUUCCUUGGAACAGGACGUCAUAGAGGGUGAGAAUCCCGUGUGGCGAGGAGUGCGGUUCUUUGUAAAGUGCCUUCGAAGAGUCGAGUUGUUUGGGAAUGCAGCUCUAAGUGGGUGGUAAAUUCCAUCUAAAGCUAAAUAUUGGCGAGAGACCGAUAGCGAACAAGUACAGUGAUGGAAAGAUGAAAAGAACUUUGAAAAGAGAGUGAAAAAGUACGUGAAAUUGUUGAAAGGGAAGGGCAUUUGAUCAGACAUGGUGUUUUGUGCCCUCUGCUCCUUGUGGGUAGGGGAAUCUCGCAUUUCACUGGGCCAGCAUCAGUUUUGGUGGCAGGAUAAAUCCAUAGGAAUGUAGCUUGCCUCGGUAAGUAUUAUAGCCUGUGGGAAUACUGCCAGCUGGGACUGAGGACUGCGACGUAAGUCAAGGAUGCUGGCAUAAUGGUUAUAUGCCGCCCGUCUUG
rnacentral:rRNA from 1 species